rnacentral:tRNA from 1 species
AAUAAAAUGGCUGAGGAUUAAGCACUAGAUUGUAAAUCUAGUUACGAAUUAUUAAAUUCUUUUAUUA